CGGUUGUGGAGGAAGGCGACUCAUGACACACGAAGUGAUCAAACAUCUUCUCGACGACUAUGUGACGGGCGAGCUGAACGAGGACGCUCGUGCGCCCGUUGAAGAGCACGUUGCAACAUGCGCGAUGU
rnacentral:misc_RNA from 1 species